rnacentral:rRNA from 1 species
UGGGGAAUAUUGCACAAUGGGCGAAAGCCUGAUGCAGCGACGCCGCGUGAGGGAUGACGGCCUUCGGGUUGUAAAACCUCUUUCAGCAGGGAAGAAGCGAAAGUGACGGUACCUGCAGAAGAAGCGCCGGCUAACUACGUGCCAGCAGCCGCGGUAAUACGUAGGGCGCAAGCGUUGUCCGGAAUUAUUGGGCGUAAAGAGCUCGUAGGCGGUUAGUCGCGUCUGCUGUGAAAACUCGAGGCUCAACCUCGGGCUUGCAGUGGGUACGGGCUGACUAGAGUGCGGUAGGGGUGACUGGAAUUCCUGGUGUAGCGGUGGAAUGCGCAGAUAUCAGGAGGACACCGAUGGCGAAGGCAGGUCACUGGGCCGCAACUGACGCUGAGGAGCGAAAGCAUGGGG